rnacentral:rRNA from 1 species
UACAGAGGUCUCAAGCGUUGUUCGGAUUCAUUGGGCGUAAAGGGUGCGUAGGCGGCGCGGUAAGUCGGAUGUGAAAUCUCGGAGCUUAACUUCGAAACUGCAUUCGAUACUGCCGUGCUUGAGGACUGGAGAGGAGACUGGAAUUUACGGUGUAGCGGUGAAAUGCGUAGAUAUCGUAAGGAAGACCAGUGGCGAAGGCGGAUCUCUGGGCCAUUACUGACGCUGAGGAGCGAAAGCGUGGGGAGCGAACAGG